GUUGGACUAAGUAAAUAACAAUUUUUUUAGUUAUAACCAUCAAACAGAUCAAUUCUGAUGGAUUGUAAACGGCGUUAAGGAACCCUCUGGUGGAGAGGGAUAAUGUUUGUGCGUUAUCUAUCUAAAACGGAGGGGGGAAAAAAAAAAAAGGGAAGCCUUCGUUUGGACGGUUGUAUUCUUUUAGUCCAGCUGCUUCAGGUUCAGGUCUCCAGUCUCUGGUCUUUCGGCA
rnacentral:lncRNA from 1 species